rnacentral:rRNA from 1 species
CUUAACACAUGCAAGUCGAACGCGAAAGGGACUUCGGUCCUGAGUAAAGUGGCGCACGGGUGAGUAACGCGUAGAUAACCUGUCUUCAUGUCUGGAAUAAUACGCCGAAAGGGGUACUAAUACCGGAUAUUCUUGCUUUUCAUAAGUUAUGCAAGCAAAGGUGGCCUCUGCAUAUGCUACUGCAUGAAGAGGGGUCUGCGUACCAUUAGCUAGUAGGUGGGGUAAUGGCCUACCUAGGCGACGAUGGUUAGCGGGUCUGAGAGGAUGAUCCGCCACACUGGCACUGGAACACGGGCCAGACUCCUACGGGAGGCAGCAGUGAGGAAUAUUGCGCAAUGGGGGAAACCCUGACGCAGCGACGCCGCGUGAGUGAGGAAGGCCUUCGGGUCGUAAAGCUCUGUCAAGAGGAAAGAAGUGUACAAUGGCUAAUACCUGUUGUAUUUGACGGUACCUCUAAAGGAAGCACCGGCUAACUCCGUGCCAGCCGCCGC